GGAACACCGCUGCUGCUGUCACUGUAGCGCUCUGAGCCGUGAAGAUAAGGCGACUGGCUGAAGGAGUUGUCUUUGUGUGUGACCGUCUCCGGACACUGGGACUCCCCUUCCACACUGAAGACGACAACAAGAAGCAGAGCUCUAUAUCCCUCCACAAAGAGUGGCAACCCCAGUAACGGUAAGCGCGCGAGUCGUCGAGAGGUCAGCCGAACCUCUGCUCAGCGUGAGGAGGGGCUGCUGCAGCCUGAGGCAGAGCAACAGAACUGAUGGGCACCCUCAUCCUCGCCCUCCUCACUGGGGAGGAGUCCCAGCACAGAGAGAAACACCGGACAGCAGGCAGACAAGAAAAAAAAGAGAAAAAAGAAAAGAGCAGGAUAGAGAGUGAAAAACGAAGCAGUAUGAGACAGAAGCAGAAAGCAAGCAGGUGGGAUCUAGGACCCUUUAGUGUGGGUGGCAUUAAAGAGAUGAAGCUGAAACAUAAAAGGCAUCUUUGUCAUAAAUGAUGCUUUCUUUAAUCUGGGCUAGGAUUCUCUGCAGCAGUCAAUGCCAUUAGAUGGCAGUGUUGCAGCAUCCUGUGCAGAUGUGUUGGAGAGUAGCAUCAGCUGAGGGAUAAGUAAGAGCAGGAGAUAAAAGAGGAAGAGAAUCAUCAGGUUCACUUGUGACUCAGUCAACCAGAGUCCCACACCUUACUGAAGAUCACCGUUUCCUCUCGCUCUGCUUGAGGAGCAGUGUGUUUUUCUGAGUUUGCAGAACAGCAAUCUAUUAGUCACACCUGGGAGCGGUAGGAGACUGAAGGUUUUGUAGGAGAGGUGGAGGAGGUGGACGGGCUGUUUUACUGGGUUUGGAACUGCUGCAGGUGACUUACAGUGACUUGGAAAUAAUUUGUAUGUCACAACAACAAACUUAAAUGUAUUUAAUUGUGAUUUUAUGUGGUAGAGCAAAACAAAGGAUACAUGAUUUUCAAAAUCAUCUAUUUAUAUCAAUAAAAUCUAGUGCA